rnacentral:rRNA from 1 species
AUUGAACGCUGGCGGCAGGCCUAACACAUGCAAGUCGAGCGAGCGGCGGACGGGUGAGUAAUGUAUGGGGACUGCCCGAUAGAGGGGGAGAACUACUGGAAACGGUAGCUAAUACCGCAUACUAUCGGAUAACCCAUAUGGGAUUAGCUAGUAGGUGAGGUAAUGGCUCACCUAGGCGACGCUCCCUAGCUGGUCUGAGAGGAUGAUCAGCCACACUGGGACUGAGACACGGCCCAGACUCCUACGGAGGCAGCAGUGGGGAAUAGUGCACAAUGGGCGCAAGCCUGAUGCCGCCAUGCCGCGUGUAUGAAGAAGGCCCUAGGGUUGUAAAGUACUUUCAGUCGGGAGGCGUUACCGACAGAAGAAGCACCGGCUAACGCCGUGCCAGCAGCCGCGGUAAUUC